rnacentral:lncRNA from 1 species
GCCAAUACUGCCCACUACGUUUAAAGUACACAGACUGAAAAAUGCAGGGAAACAUUAUAGAUUCCACAAUAUUGAUUUUGUGGAAAAGCUUAAAUCAUUGUUCUGGGAACUGUGUAGGACAGAAGAAAGACAAUUCUUUGCCUGAAGGCUCUAAGAGACUGGAUAAACAAGGCAACUGGGAGGUGACAUUGUUCCAGCUAUCUUGCUUCCAUCCUGGAAGAUGA